rnacentral:tRNA from 1 species
GGGGCUAUAGCUCAGUGGUAGAGCGCUCACCUCACACAUGUGAGACCUGAGUUUGAUCCUCAGCACCACA